AGAUUGAACGCUGGCGGCAUGCCUUACACAUGCAAGUCGAACGCGAAAGGGGGCAACCCCCGAGUAGAGUGGCGAACGGGUGAGUAAUACAUCGGAACGUGUCCAGUAGCGGGGGAUAACCUCUCGAAAGAGAGGCUAAUACCGCAUACGACCUACGGGUGAAAGAGGGGGAUCGCAAGACCUCUCACUAUUGGAGCGGCCGAUGUCGGAUUAGCUAGUUGGCGGGGUAAAAGCCCACCAAGGCGACGAUCCGUAGCUGGUCUGAGAGGACGGCCAGCCACACUGGAACUGAGACACGGUCCAGACUCCUACGGGAGGCAGCAGUGGGGAAUUUUUGGGCAAUGGGCGCAAGCCUGACCCAGCAACGCCGCGUGGGUGACGAAGGCCUUCGGGUGUAAAGCCCUUUCUGGGGAAGAUGAUGACGGUACCCCAGGAAGAAGCACCGGCUAACUACGUGCCAGCAGCCGC
rnacentral:rRNA from 1 species